rnacentral:rRNA from 1 species
AUGGCUGGAGGAAGAAGGAACGCUGAUCCGAAUGCAGCGAACUUGAGCCAAGCAUACUACCCGUCAUGGGUGUAUGAUAGACUAACUGAACAAGAAGUGUGUGAGAUAUCUCCCGUUGCUGGCAGGCAUGAGUUGGAGAGGAAGCUGUGCAUGGUUGGACUAUGGUGCAUCCAGAUGAAGUCGCAUGACAGGCCGACAAUGAGUGAGGUCAUAGAGAUGCUGGAAGGUGGCUUCGAUGGCCUGCAGAUGCCUUCCAGGCCAUUCUUCUGCGACGACGAGCACACCGUUGUUCCGGAUUCUUACCCUUUGUUAUCCGAGCUGACCGAGAUCUCGGAGGAGGAUGAGAUCUCAGAUUCUUAUGUUUCCCGGGUCCUAUGA